GAUGAAGAACGUAGCGAAAUGCGAUAAGUAAUGUGAAUUGCAGAAUUCAGUGAAUCAUCGAAUCUUUGAACGCACAUUGCGCCCCUUGGUAUUCCGAGGGGCAUGCCCGUUCGAGCGUCAUUAUACCCCUCAAGCCUAGCUUGGUGUUGGGGCCUGCUGUUACCGGCAGCCCUUAAAAUCAGUGGCGGUGCCAUCUGGCUCUAAGCGUAGUAAUACUUCUCGCUACAGGGUCCCGGUGGAUGCUUGGCAUCAACCCCUAAUUUUCUAUGGUUGACCUCGGAUCGGGUAGGGAUACCCGCUGAACUUAAGCAUAUCAAUAAGCGGAGGA
rnacentral:misc_RNA from 1 species